rnacentral:rRNA from 1 species
GACGAACGCUGGCGGCGUGCUUAACACAUGCAAGUCGAACGGAAAGGCCCUGCUUUUGUGGGGUGCUCGAGUGGCGAACGGGUGAGUAACACGUGAGUAACCUGCCCUUGACUUUGGGAUAACGUCAGGAAACUGGGGCUAAUACCGGAUAGGAGCUCCUGCUGCAUGGUGGGGGUUGGAAAGUUUCGGCGGUUGGGGAUGGACUCGCGGCUUAUCAGCUUGUUGGUGGGGUAGUGGCUUACCAAGGCUUUGACGGGUAGCCGGCCUGAGGGGGUGACCGGCCACAUUGGGACUGAGAUACGGCCCAGCCUCCUACGGGAGGCAGCAGUGGGGAAUAUUGCACAAUGGGCGGAAGCCUGAUGCAGCAACGCCGCGUGCGGGAUGACGGCCUUCGGGUUGUAAACCGCUUUCGCCUGUGACGAAGCGUGAGUGACGGUAAUGGGUAAAGAAGCACCGGCUAACUACGUG